GGAGCCUGGACGUCAGGGUGAUGCUUGGACGCGAGGGGAGGACUGCGGGGCAGGUGCCAAGGCUUGCACUGACUGGGGAGGGACAGAUUGUUGACAGACGGCCAAAAAGCCAGAGCAAAGCACCAGUCUGUGGCAUUCGAGAGGUGCCCUGAUGACAACCGUGGUGGCUAAGAACUAAAGGAGAAAUGCUGAGCCCUCGAGGGCGGGGGUGGCCCGGACACGGCGCCUGCCAACUGGGCGCACCCUCUCAUCUGGAUCCCUGUUCUCCACUCACCCAAGGCUCUGUUCUGCUGAGGACUUGCCAUUUUCUAGAUGCUGAAGUUUGAGCAGGAGAGGCCUCAAGAAGACACUGGACCUAGCCCCAGCCUUAAGCCAGCUGAGAUGGGUGGCUGGUCUGAGCACAAGCAGCUGCAAGGUGGCAGAGACAAAAUUAAAAUUAACCUGAUGUGUGGACUC